rnacentral:rRNA from 1 species
UGGGAAGUAUUGGGUAAUGGGCGAAAGCCUGACCCAGCAACGCCGCGUGAAGGAAGAAGGCUUUCGGGUUGUAAACUUCUUUUCUCAGGGACGAAAGAAAUGACGGUACCUGAGGAAUAAGCCACGGCUAACUACGUGCCAGCAGCCGCGGUAAUACGUAGGUGGCAAGCGUUAUCCGGAUUUAUUGGGUGUAAAGGGCGUGUAGGCGGGAGUGCAAGUCAGAUGUGAAAACUAUGGGCUCAACCCAUAGCCUGCAUUUGAAACUGUACUUCUUGAGUGCUGGAGAGGCAAUCGGAAUUCCGUGUGUAGCGGUGAAAUGCGUAGAUAUACGGAGGAACACCAGUGGCGAAGGCGGAUUGCUGGACAGUAACUGACGCUGAGGCGCGAAAGCGUGGGGAGCAAACAGGAUUAGAUACC